AAAUGAAUCACCUGGGGAUUUUGAUAAAAUGCAGAUUCUGAUUCACUCGACCUGCGGUAGGGCUCAGGGUUCUGAAGUUCUAACCAGCUCCCAGGUGAUGCCAGU
rnacentral:pre_miRNA from 1 species